GAUGAAGAACGCAGCGAAAUGCGAUAAGUAGUGUGAAUUGCAGAAUUCCGUGAAUCAUCGAAUCUUUGAACGCACAUUGCGCCUUCUGGUAUUCCGGAAGGCAUGCCUGUUCGAGAGUCAUUAACAACCGUUUCGAUCCCUUUCUUUCAGAAAUUACAAAGAGGAAAAGGGUUUGGUUAUGGUGGAGGAGGGAAAGGGAGCGUUUAGCCUGUAAAAAAAGAGGCUGUGUUCCGCCUCCCCCCCAAAAUUGUACAGGCGGUCGUGUGCGACCACGCAUCGAGGUGUUGUAAAAGCUGCCACGGCACUUUUCACCUGUGCAGUGCGAGAUUGGCCAGCCGGUUUAAAAACCCCUCCAAACAAUCAAAGGUUGACCUCGGAUCAGGUAGGGAUACCCGCUGAACUUAAGCAUAUCAAUAAGCGGAGGA
rnacentral:misc_RNA from 1 species